CUUCUUUUUCCCCGGAGCUUGCUCCACCGGAAAAAGAGGAGUGGCGAACGGGUGAGUAACACGUGGGUAACCUGCCCAUCAGAAGGGGAUAACACUUGGAAACAGGUGCUAAUACCGUAUAACAAUCAAAACCGCAUGGUUUUGAUUUGAAAGGCGCUUUCGGGUGUCGCUGAUGGAUGGACCCGCGGUGCAUUAGCUAGUUGGUGAGGUAACGGCUCACCAAGGCCACGAUGCAUAGCCGACCUGAGAGGGUGAUCGGCCACAUUGGGACUGAGACACGGCCCAAACUCCUACGGGAGGCAGCAGUAGGGAAUCUUCGGCAAUGGACGAAAGUCUGACCGAGCAACGCCGCGUGAGUGAAGAAGGUUUUCGGAUCGUAAAACUCUGUUGUUAGAGAAGAACAAGGAUGAGAGUAACUGUUCAUCCCUUGACGGUAUCUAACCAGAAAGCCACGGCUAACUACGUGCCAGCAGCCGCGGUAAUACGUAGGUGGCAAGCGUUGUCCGGAUUUAUUGGGCGUAAAGCGAGCGCAGGCGGUUUCUUAAGUCUGAUGUGAAAGCCCCCGGCUCAACCGGGGAGGGUCAUUGGAAACUGGGAGACUUGAGUGCAGAAGAGGAGAGCGGAAUUCCAUGUGUAGCGGUGAAAUGCGUAGAUAUAUGGAGGAACCCAGUGGCGAAGCGGCUCUCUGGUCUGUACUGACGCUGAGCUCGAAGCGU
rnacentral:rRNA from 1 species